UAUUCUGCCCUACAGGGAAGGAUGAGAAGCUUCGACUAAGGUUCGACUCGAGCGAAGCGAGAGAACGUUGCCGCAGGCAACGGCCCGAGGCGAGGCGCUAGCGCCGAGUAAUCCUUCCCCACCACCA
rnacentral:sRNA from 1 species